UACAGAGGGGGCAAGCGUUGUUCGGAAUUACUGGGCGUAAAGGGCGCGUAGGCGGCCGCCUAAGUCAGGCGUGAAAUUCCCGGGCUCAACCUGGGGGCUGCGCUUGAUACUGAUUGGCUUGAAUGCGGGAGAGGAUAGUGGAAUUCCCAGUGUAGAGGUGAAAUUCGUAGAUAUUGGGAAGAACACCAGUGGCGAAGGCGGCUAUCUGGCCCGUUAUUGACGCUGAGGCGCGAAAGCGUGGGGAGCAAACAGG
rnacentral:rRNA from 1 species